rnacentral:misc_RNA from 1 species
AACGCACAUUGCACCUUGUGGUAUUCUACAAGGUAUGCCUGUUUGAGCGUCAUUUCUCCCUCAACCCCCGCGGGUUGGCGUUGAAUGGCACGAGCUCUUAGUCAGUCCAUUCGAAAAGUAUUUUUCUUGUGUUGUUAUUUUCUAAUUUAGUAGUGACAACCACACUAAAAACACAUUCUCCUCAAAUCAGGUAGGACUACCCGCUGAACUUAA